GAUGAACGCUGGCGGCGUGCCUAAUACAUGCAAGUCGAGCGAACAGACGAGGAGCUUGCUCCUCUGACGUUAGCGGCGGACGGGUGAGUAACACGUGGAUAACCUACCUAUAAGACUGGGAUAACUUCGGGAAACCGGAGCUAAUACCGGAUAAUAUAUUGAACCGCAUGGUUCAAUAGUGAAAGACGGUUUUGCUGUCACUUAUAGAUGGAUCCGCGCCGCAUUAGCUAGUUGGUAAGGUAACGGCUUACCAAGGCAACGAUGCGUAGCCGACCUGAGAGGGUGGUCGGCCACACUGGAACUGAGACACGGUCCAGGCUCCUACGGGAGGCAGCAGUAGGGAAUCUUCCGCAAUGGGCGAAAGCUUGACGGAGCAACGCCGCGUGAGUGAUGAAGGUCUUCGGAUCGUAAAACUCUGUUAUUAGGGAAGAACAAAUGUGUAAGUAACUAUGUACGUCUUGACGGUACCUAAUCAGAAAGCCACGGCUAACUACGUG
rnacentral:rRNA from 1 species